GGCUGGUCUGAGUGCAGUGGUGUUUACAACUAAUUGAUCACAACCAGUUACAGAUUCCUUUGUUCCUUCUCCACUCCCACUGCUUCACUUGACCAGCCUUUA
rnacentral:Y_RNA from 1 species